rnacentral:rRNA from 1 species
GACGAACGCUGGCGGCGUGCUUAACACAUGCAAGUCGAACGGUGAAAGAAGAGAUUGCUCUUAUGGAUCAGUGGCGAACGGGUGAGUAACACGUGAGUAACCUGCCCUAGCCUCUGAAAAAAGGGCUGAAAACGUCGUCCAAUACCGGAUCCGAGACAGAACUGCAUGGCUCCUGUCUGGAAAGUUUUUCGGGUUGGGAUGGACCCGCGGCCGUUCAGCUUGUUGGUGAGGUAACGGCUCACCAAGGCACUGAGGGGUAGCCGGCCUGAGAGGGCGACCGGCCACACUGGGACUAAGACACGGCCCAGACUCCUACGGGAGGCAGCAGUGGGGAAUAUUGCACAAUGGGCGAAAGCCUGAUGCAGCGACGCCGCGUGAGGGAUGACGGCCUUCGGGUUGUAAACCUCUUUCAGCAGGGAAGAAGCGAAAGUGACGGUACCUUCAGAAGAAGCACCGGCUAACUACGUG